GGAAGGAUCAUUAACACAUAUAUUAAAACAACAACAACCAAAUGAACAUCUCCGCUUCCCUAUCCCAAACAAGACAUUACGUGUGCAUGCCAUGCCAUGCACGCACGCUGUACAUCAUACGCACUUGGAAGAGGCGCACCUUGGUGCAGCUUUUUCUAGUGCGUAAGGUGUGUGCGUGCAUGUGCGUGUGCGUGCGCGUGUGUGUUUUGGGGGUUGCGAGUGUUCUUCCUAACGCCAUGGCUCAGUGCAUGUGUGUGCGUGUGCAUAGGUAGUACCCACUCACGUGGGUGCUGCAAUAUGCGUACGCUGCGUGCAAGGGGCUUGUGCGUGUGGUCACUGUUUGAACAAGCGCGUGCAUACACGUGUGCGCGUUUGUGUCUUCAUUCGUGUUUUUAACUCCAUACAUAUCGUGGUGUAUUGAACUCAUUGUCUCUGAUUUCCUUUCUUUCUUUCUUUUUCCCCCCCCCUUUUUUUUAUUACAAAAAAAAAAGGGGGAGGGGGGAACGAAAACAAGGAAAACACUUUAUAUAAAACAAAACCUCGAGAUAACUUUUAACAACGGAUAUCUUGGUUCUCGCAACGAUGAAGAACGCAGCGAAAUGCGAUACGUAAUGUGAAUUGCAGAAUUCAGUGAAUCAUCGAGACUUUGAACGCAAAUUGCGCCUAUGGGAACUCCUGUAGGCACGCCUGUUUGAGUAUCGGUUCCAUACUCAUCCCAUAUCCCACUGCUGCUGCUGCUGCCUGCUCUCAUGCUGUGUGCGUGCACACUGGUGUGAGGUGGUGGUGGUGGUGAGGAGGUAUGCGUGAUGGAUUUUGAGCUUUUGUCAGGGGCACUCCUCUUGUGUCCUUGUCGCUCUAAUGCAUGCACAAAAAGAGUCUGUGCGUGCCACAUACGUUUCGUGACACUAUGAGCAUUUUUCUUUGCUUGGUGCGACGUGUGUGUCAGUGUGGUAAUUGCGUGUGCGUGCGCACCGUGUUUUUUUCAUGGUGUGCGUGCUAUGCAAAGGAUCACUGGCAAAACAAAAACACACUUCGGUUAUCAUCGAGCAAGGCGCAAGGACGCCAAUACGUAUGUAUUGGUGUCAUUGUGUGCUGUGGGUGGCAUGAAAAAACACACGUGUGUGGCGCUCUACAUGCGCGCUUUCUUUCUUUUGGUGUGCUACAUAUUUUACUCAAGAAUCUGUGUGUGUGUGUGUGUGUGUGUGUGGCACGCGCUUUUGCGCAAUACAUACACACACACACGCUAUAUGUGCACAGGUUUUUUUAAUAUCUCGAUCUCAAAUCAGGCGAGGCUACCCGCUGAACUUAAGCAUAUUAUUAAGCGGAGGAAAAGAAACUAACCAGGAUUCCCUCAGUAGCGGCGAGUGAAGCGGGAACAGCUCAUAUUUAAAAUCUGGGGUGCUCAACUGUGCCCCGAAUUGUAGUUUUUGGAAGGUCAGUCCAGGCGCCUCCCCGGGUAUAAAUCCUUUGGAACAGGGUGUCACAGAGGGUGAGAAUCCCGUACGUGACCCGGAGGGUGGACGGCGUCGACACGUGUCUGGCUUUCUUAGAGUCGGGUUGUUUGGGACUACAGCCCUAAAUGGGUGGUAAAUUUCAUCUAAAGCUAAAUACGGGCGAGAGACGAUAGCGAACAAGUACCGUGAGGGAAAGAUGCAAAGAACUUUGAAAAGAGAGUCAAGAGUGCUUGAAAUUGUUAAAAGGGAAACGAUUUAGUCCAGUGUUCACGCGUGUGGGACUCAACUCGGGCGGCGCGUCGCCCCUGUGCUCGGAUAGCUCUCCUCAUGGGGGGCGGCCGGGUGUGGGGGUGGGCGCGUCACCGGGUGCACUUCCUGCAUCAGCGUGGGUCAGCGUCAGCUCUGGCCCUGCGGGACAAGACUCGUGGGAAGGUGACAGGCGGGUGCGCAAGUGCUUCGUCUGUGUUAUAGACCGCGAGCCAUACCGUGGGCUGGGCUGAGGGAGCCGGACGUGCGCCGCAAGGCCAGGCGUGUUCAUUCUCUGGCGGGCGGGACAUGGGGGGACCGGGCAACCCGGUGCCUUUGUGCCUCGUUCGUCACGGGGUGGGACGAUCCUGUGCACGGCCUGGACGCUGACGAAAUGGGCUAAACCGACCCGUCUUGAAACACGGACCAAGGAGUCUAACGUAUGUGCGAGUAUUAUGGUGAGUCAAACCAUGAUGCGCAAUGAAAGUGAAAGGGCGGGACGCCGGGUGACGCCGGUUUUGCACCGCCGACCGAUCUGGAUAUAUCCGCAAGGACAUUUGAAAGAUUUGAGUAUAAGCGCAUCCGCUAGGACCCGAAAGAUGGUGAACUAUGCCUGCAUAGGGUGAGGCCAGAGGAAACUCUGGUGGAGGCUCGUAGCGAUACUGACGUGCAAAAUCGUUCGUCAAAUGUGGGUAUAGGGGCGAAAGACUAAUCGAACCAUCUAGUAGCUGGUUCCCUC
rnacentral:misc_RNA from 1 species